GGGAGAGCAGCAGCAGCAGCCAGCGAUUGACAGUCUGCGCUGUUACACCCGUGUCUGUGUUACAAUUGCAUUAGAAAAGGCGAAGCAGGGUGGAACACGGUAAGAAACCCCCCUGCUUCUGUCUGUAUUCUGGGCACUAUCCAGGGGUUUGCCUGGUGGCUCACUGGCCGAGAAAGGGAACCUGUUGGUAAUAUUGACCUAGAUCAUAUAGAAGAUUCCUGCGGCUAAAAAUAAGAUGGUGCAUGUAUAUCUUAUAGAACAGAUAUUUGCUGUGAACUUUCCCCAGCAAAGAAUGAAAUCCCUCUUAUGAGGACAGAUGGAGAGUUAUGCAACUUCGGGAGGAUUAUGCAGAUGUGUAUAUGCGGUGAAGUCACCCAGUAGAUUACAAACUUGUGUAGUAGCAGCAGCACAGGGAGGGUUACUGAGAAGAUUGUAAGCAAAGCAGUUCUGGAGGUACCAGGAACCCAUGGAUUUCCUUUGAUUUUGUUUGGCUGUGGUAAAACAAUAACAACUGCAUGUGAAACUAAUUUUCUCCUUAGAAAUAAACCUUCCACAAGUUUCCCCAUCUCACACUUCCUUGCUUAUA